CGUCGGUGUUGACAGCUCCAGCUUCCUGUUACCGAAUGUGAAUAAAGUUAGUCCUCAUUUAAAAAAAUGUGCACCACAAUGGUUCAACAAGUAAGGGGAAUGCCGUUAAUACGAACGCCGCAGUUUGCAAUAUAUCAAAGGGGAGGUGCAGAGCAAGGCUCCUCAGUGAGGGAUGCAGAGCCGGAACCCUGGUGGGUUGUG
rnacentral:lncRNA from 1 species